rnacentral:rRNA from 1 species
AUUGAACGCUGGCGGGAUGCUUUACACAUGCAAGUCGAACGAGUGGCGGACGGGUGAGUAAUAUCUCGGAACGUGCCCAGUAGCGGGGGAUAACUACUCGAAAGAGUGGCUAAUACCGCAUACUAUUGGAUGUGCCGAUAUCGGAUUAGCUAGUUGGUGGGGUAAGGGCUCACCAAGGCCACGAUCCGUAGCUGGUCUGAGAGGAUGACCAGCCAAACUGGGACUGAGACACGGCCCAGACUCCUACGUGAGGCAGCAGUGGGGAAUAUUGGACAAUGGGGGAAAGCCUGAUCCAGCCAUCCCGCGUGUAUGAGAAGGCCUUCGGGUUGUAAAGUACUUUUGGCAGGGAAGCGGUAUCUGCAGAAGAAGCACCGGCUAACUACGUGCCAGCAGCCGCGGUAAUAC